AUGGCUUGGCUGAAGAGGGCUAUCUACAGUGGCGGAACUAGAACAUUAACUCAGGGGUAUCCCAAAUUUUUUUUUCACCGUGCAAUCAUACAAUACUAAAAAAAACGACAAUAAAUAAAUAAAAUAAAACAAAUACCUAAUAAAUUUGUCCUCUUCUUUUUUUCAUAGCUUGAAAUCGUUUCAUCACAUCGUCAUCUUUUUCUUCACGUAAAAAAUCCUUUUCGACCGCACAAACCAUAGCAUUGUUCAAAAAUUUUGGGCCCAUUCGAUUGCGUAAAUCCGUUUUGACAAGCUUCAAUUUCGAAAAAACAUAUUUCAACGGUUGCGGUUGCAAUUGGUCAAGCAAAGCUAGCUUCACUACCCGAUAAACUGAAGGACAAGAACUAUGCGUUCCCGUUUCAACCAUAACACGCGCUAGAUCACUUAUUCCAUUCAAGUUUGCAAAUUUAUCAUCAUCGCUUAUAGUGUGACGAAACGAGCAAUUGGGAUUUGUGCUUAUUAUUUUCAAUUAAUUGGUAUUCUCGUAGUUGUGUCGUGCAUUAAAACUUCAGGGCAAUUGGACAAUUAUUUACAAUCUUUUAUUAUUUUGGGCUAACAUAUUGGGCAAUUAGGCUUAUUAUUUACAAUCUUCAAUUGAUUUGGGCUAACAUAUUGGGCAAUUGAGAUUUGGGCCUAUUAUUUUCCAUUGAUUUGGGCUUACAUACUUUUUUUAGGGGUGUCCUCGUAGUUGUUCAGGGGUAUCCUUGGUAUAAAAACCGAAAAAAAAAUAAUUUUUUACGCUACCGAUAAAAAGUUGAGCCGUAGCCCGUGCUACGGCUUGGUACACAUAGGGUCCGCC
rnacentral:lncRNA from 1 species